GACGUUAGCGGCGGACGGGUGAGUAACACGUGGGCAACCUGCCUGUAAGACUGGGAUAACUUCGGGAAACCGAAGCUAAUACCGGAUAGGAUCUUCUCCUUCAUGGGAGAUGAUUGAAAGAUGGUUUCGGCUAUCACUUACAGAUGGGCCCGCGGUGCAUUAGCUAGUUGGUGAGGUAACGGCUCACCAAGGCAACGAUGCAUAGCCGACCUGAGAGGGUGAUCGGCCACACUGGGACUGAGACACGGCCCAGACUCCUACGGGAGGCAGCAGUAGGGAAUCUUCCGCAAUGGACGAAAGUCUGACGGAGCAACGCCGCGUGAGUGAUGAAGGCUUUCGGGUCGUAAAACUCUGUUGUUAGGGAAGAACAAGUACGAGAGUAACUGCUCGUACCUUGACGGUACCUAACCAGAAAGCCACGGCUAACUACGUGCCAGCAGCCGCGGUAAUACGUAGGUGGCAAGCGUUAUCCGGAAUUAUUGGGCGUAAAGCGCGCGCAGGCGGUUUCUUAAGUCUGAUGUGAAAGCCCACGGCUCAACCGUGGAGGGUCAUUGGAAACUGGGGAACUUGAGUGCAGAAGAGAAAAGCGGAAUUCCACGUGUAGCGGUGAAAUGCGUAGAGAUGUGGAGGAACACCAGUGGCGAAGGCGGCUUUUUGGUCUGUAACUGACGCUGAGGCGCGAAAGCGUGGGGGAGCAAACAGGAUUAGAUACCCUGGUAGUCCACGCCGUAAACGAUGAGUGCUAAGUGUUAGAGGGUUUCCGCCCUUUAGUGCUGCAGCUAACGCAUUAAGCACUCCGCCUGGGGAGUACGGUCGCAAGAGAUAGAGCGUUCCCCUUCGGGGGACAGAGUGACAGGUGGUGCAUGGUUGUCGUCAGCUCGUGUCGUGAGAUGUUGGGUUAAGUCCCGCAACGAGCGCAACCCUUGAUCUUAGUUGCCAGCAUUUAGUUGGGCACUGUAAGGUGACUGCCGGUGACAAACCGGAGGAAGGUGGGGAUGACGUCAAAUCAUCAUGCCCCUUAUGACCUGGGCUACACACGUGUUACAAUGGAUGGUACAAAGGGCUGCAAGACCGCGAGGUCAAGCCAAUCCCAUAAAACCAUUCUCAGUUCGGAUUGUAGGCUGCAACUCGCCUACAUGAAGCUGGAAUCGCUA
rnacentral:rRNA from 1 species